UACGUAGGGUGCGAGCGUUAAUCGGAAUUACUGGGCGUAAAGCGUGCGCAGGCGGUUCGUUGUGUCGGCGGUGAAAGCCCCGGGCUUAACCUGGGAAUGGCCGUUGAAACUGGCGAACUGGAGUGUGGCAGAGGGGGGUGGAAUUCCGCGUGUAGCAGUGAAAUGCGUAGAGAUCCGGAAGAACACCGGUGGCGAAGGCGGCCUGCUGGGCAGUAGCUGACGCUGAGGCGCGACAGCGUGGGGAGCAAACAGG
rnacentral:rRNA from 1 species